rnacentral:tRNA from 1 species
GCGGGUGUCGUAUAGUGGCUAUUAUGCAACUCUUCCAAAGUUGAGAUGGCGGUUCGAUUCCGCUCACCCGCU